GACGAACGCUGGCGGCGUGCCUAAUACAUGCAAGUAGAACGCUGAAGAGAGGAGCUUGCUCUUCUUGGAUGAGUUGCGAACGGGUGAGUAACGCGUAGGUAACCUGCCUUGUAGCGGGGGAUAACUAUUGGAAACGAUAGCUAAUACCGCAUAACAAUAGGUGACACAUGUCAUUUAUUUGAAAGGGGAAUUGCUCCACUACAAGAUGGACCUGCGUUGUAUUAGCUAGUAGGUGAGGUAACGGCUCACCUAGGCGACGAUACAUAGCCGACCUGAGAGGGUGAUCGGCCACACUGGGACUGAGACACGGCCCAGACUCCUACGGGAGGCAGCAGUAGGGAAUCUUCGGCAAUGGGGGCAACCCUGACCGAGCAACGCCGCGUGAGUGAAGAAGGUUUUCGGAUCGUAAAGCUCUGUUGUAAGUCAAGAACGAGUGUGAGAGUGGAAAGUUCACACUGUGACGGUAUCUUACCAGAAAGGCGGU
rnacentral:rRNA from 1 species